CCUGCCAGUAGUCAUAUGCUUGUUUUAAAGAUUAAGCCAUGCAUGUCUAAGUAUAAGCAAAAAUACAGCAAAACUGCAAAUGGCUCAUUAAAACAGUUAUUGUUUACUUGAUAAUAAUUUUUACAUGGAUAACCGUGGUAAUUCUACAGCUAAUACAUGAGCAAAAUCUCAACUUUAUUAGAAGAGACGCAUUUAUUAGAUAAAAAGCCAGUUCAUGCUUUUACAGUAUGAAAAUUGGUGAUUUUUAAUAACUUAGCAAAUCGCAAAGUGAAAACAGGCGAUAAAUCAUUCAAGUUUCUGACCUAUCAGCUUUCGACGGUAUGGUAUUGGCUUACCGUGGCAGUGACGGUUAACGGGGGAUUAGGGUUCGAUUCCGGAGAGGGAGCCUGAGAAACGGCUACCACAUCUAAGGAAGGCAGCAGGCGCGCAAAUUACCCAAUUCUAACAGUUUGAGAGAGGUAGUAACAAGAAAUAACAAUACAAGGCAGUUAAAAUGCUUUGUAAUUGGAAUGAUAGAAAUUUAAACCCUUUUUAAAAUAUCAAUUGGAGGGCAAGUCUGGUGCCAGCAGCCGCGGUAAUUCCAGCUCCAAUAGCGUAUAUUAAAAUUGUUGCAGUUAAAAAGCUCGUAGUUGAAGUUCUGCUGAAAGUAACCGGUCUGCUUUUAAUAAAAGUGGUAUCUUGGUAUGUAUUUAGCAAUGAUGUCCUUUGAAGUGUUUUUUACUUUAUUGUAAUAAAGCAUAUUCAGGACUUUUACUUUGAGAAAAUUAGAGUGUUUCUAGCAGGCUAACGCUUUGAAUACUGCAGCAUGGAAUAAUAAGAUAGGAUUUUAGUGCUACAUUAUUGGUUUUAAGAGCUAAAUUAAUGAUGAUA
rnacentral:rRNA from 1 species